AUUGAACGCUGGCGGCAUGCCUUACACAUGCAAGUCGAACGGCAGCACGGGUGCUUGCACCUGGUGGCGAGUGGCGAACGGGUGAGUAAUACAUCGGAACGUACCUUAUCGUGGGGGAUAACGCAGCGAAAGCUGUGCUAAUACCGCAUACGCCCUGAGGGGGAAAGCGGGGGAUCGCAAGACCUCGCGCGAUUAGAGCGGCCGAUGCCUGAUUAGCUUGUUGGCGGGGUAAAAGCCCACCAAGGCGACGAUCAGUAGCUGGUCUGAGAGGACGAUCAGCCACACUGGGACUGAGACACGGCCCAGAUUCCUACGGGAGGCAGCAGUGGGGAAUUUUGGACAAUGGGGGCAACCCUGAUCCAGCAAUGCCGCGUGAGUGAAGAAGGCCUUCGGGUUGUAAAGCUCUUUUGUCAGGGAAGAAACACCGGCUCUAACACAGUCCGGGAAUGACGGUACCUGAAGAAUAAGCACCGGCUAACUACGUGCCAGCCGCCGCGGUAA
rnacentral:rRNA from 1 species